rnacentral:rRNA from 1 species
GUGAACGCUGGCGGUAGGCCUAACACAUGCAAGUCGAACGGCAGCACAGUAAGAGCUUGCUCUUACGGGUGGCGAGUGGCGGACGGGUGAGGAAUACAUCGGAAUCUACUUUUUCGUGGGGGAUAACGUAGGGAAACUUACGCUAAUACCGCAUACGACCUACGGGUGAAAGCAGGGGAUCUUCGGACCUUGCGCGAUUGAAUGAGCCGAUGUCGGAUUAGCUAGUUGGCGGGGUAAAGGCCCACCAAGGCGACGAUCCGUAGCUGGUCUGAGAGGAUGAUCAGCCACACUGGAACUGAGACACGGUCCAGACUCCUACGGGAGGCAGCAGUGGGGAAUAUUGGACAAUGGACGCAAGCCUGAUCCAGCCAUACCGCGUGGGUGAAGAAGGCCUUCGGGUUGUAAAGCCCUUUUGUUGGGAAAGAAAAGCAGCAGGUUAAUACCCCGCUGUUCUGACGGUACCCAAAGAAUAAGCACCGGCUAACUUCGUG